UGCCACUAGGGGGUGAAGUUAAAACAAAAUCUAAACGCAUAUGAAUGAAAGACUAUUUACUUUUGAAAAGCUAAUGGUAUUUUUCCCUACACACAGAAUACAGAGGGCAGAAUAAUCAAAGAUAUCAAACACACAAAGAGACUCUGAGCUAUAUAUAACAGAUCAAGUGCAACAGAUCAAGAAAAAAUCCUAUUAAUUGACAGUUAUCUCAGUUUUAAUGUGACAAGACAGAAGUUGGUUUAAAUAUGAGAAACUCAAACCACACCCACAUUUACAGACAAUAUACUGUAGCUGCACAAACCACUCUCCAUUACAUUCAUACAUUUACCUUUCAAAUUAAAAUCAUAAAGCAUAUACUGAUGCGACUAUAGAUUAUUAGUAAAUUUCCCACCAUGGAGAGAUGUAUUCUGCUGCUUCUUAUAACUGUAUCAGGUGUAUUUGCUGACAGCAUUAAACCAAAAGACAAGGAAAAUAUAAUCAGGACAGAAGGAGAGUCUGUGACACUGAGCUGUACAUAUGAUGCAAGCAGCAGUAAUAUUAUGCUUUACUGGUACAGACAGUAUCCAAACAGAGAACCUCAGUAUUUACUGCGGAAAGGUGCUGGAUCGUGGAGCAAUAGUGAGGAUAUACCAGAUCCUCACUUUCAGUCGACUACAACCCAAACAUCCACUGAACUCAUUAUUAACAGUGUGACUCUGUCAGAUUCAGCUCUAUAUUAUUGCGCUCUGGAGCCCAGUGAUACAAAGUCUAUGUGAAGCUGUACAAAAACUGAAAAUUAUUUUUCACUUUGAUCUCAAGCCGCAUCAAACCCACAAUCUAUAAUUCACACAAUAUAAUUACACUUGUGGAAACACCUGUGUGUGGUUAUAGACUGAAAUUUAGUUCAAAUUAUAACAAACUGGAGGCAAACUGAAGAAAAAAAGAAAAGAAAAAAAAACAUACUGUAUGUACAUAUUCUACUAGAA